CACACCGCCCGUCGCUACUACCGAUUGAAUGGCUUAGUGAGGCUUCCGGAUUGGUUUAGAGAAGGGGGCAACUCCAUCUUGGAACCGAGAAGCUAGUCAAACUUGGUCAUUUAGAGGAAGUAAAAGUCGUAACAAGGUUUCCGUAGGUGAACCUGCGGAAGGAUCAUUACAGAAUUUUGAGAAUUGUGCUUAACUGCACUUUUCUUAUCUACACACGUGUUUUUGUUUUAUUCUUAAAACUUGCUUUGGCAGUGGCUGCUUAAUUGCUCUGCUGCCAGAGGAUAAACUCAACCUAAAUUUUUUAUUUUAAACUAGUCAACUGAUUAUAUUUAUUAAUAGUCAAAACUUUCAACAACGGAUCUCUUGGUUCUCGCAUCGAUGAAGAACGCAGCGAAAUGCGAUAAGUAAUAUGAAUUGCAGAUAUUCGUGAAUCAUCGAAUCUUUGAACGCACAUUGCGCCCUCUGGUAUUCCGGAGGGCAUGCCUGUUUGAGCGUCAUUUCUCCCUCAAACCCCCGGGUUUGGUGAUGAGCAAUACGCCAGGUUUGCUUGAAAGUUAGGAGGAGUAUUUAUAACAAUGUAUUAGGUCUAACCACUCCAUUGUGCUUAAUAAAAGCUCCAAUCUAUAUUUCAAACUUCGACCUCAAAUCAGGUAGGAUUACCCGCUGAACUUAAGCAUAUCAAUAAGCGGAGGAAAAGAAACCAACAGGGAUUGCCUUAGUAGCGGCGAGUGAAGCGGCAAUAGCUCANAUUUGAAAUCUGGCACUUUCAGUGUCCGAGUUGUAAUUUGAAGAAGGUAUCUUUGGGUCUAGCUCUUGUC
rnacentral:rRNA from 1 species